UCAAGCUAUAAAGAGCGCAAGGGGAAUGCCUUGGCAUCAGGAGCCGACGAAGGACGUGACAAGCUGCGAUAAGCUUCGGGGAGGAGCAAAUAUCCGUUGAUCCGGAGAUUUCCGAAUGGGGAAACCCACCAGAGCAAUACCCUGGUAUCGUGCGUUGAAUAAAAUAGGCGUACGAGGGGAACGCCCUGAACUGAAACAUCUAAGUAGGGGCAGGAAAAGACAUCAACCGAGAUUCCGCAAGUAGUGGCGAGCGAACGCGGAGGAGGCCAAACCGGAGGAUUUAUUCUCCGGGGUUGCGGACAGACAUCACGAUCAGAGGAAGCUAGGAGAACGGCAUGGGAAGGCCGGCUAGAAAGGGUGAGAGCCCCGUAUCCGAAAGCAGGAGCUGACAGUCUGGAUCCAGAGUACCGCGGGACACGUGAAACCCCGUGGGAAACCGGGUGGACCACCAUCCAAGCCUAAAUACUACCUGAUGACCGAUAGAGGAGCAGUACCGUGAGGGAAAGGUGAAAAGGACCCCGGGAGGGGAGUGAAAGAGAACCUGAAACCUUGUGCUUACAAGCAGUCAGAGCACGUUAAAGUGUGAUGGCGUACUUUUUGUAGAACGGUCCGGCGAGUUAUAGUAACGAGCAAGCUUAAGGUAUUCAGUACCGAAGGCGCAGCGAGAGCGAGUCUGAAUAGGGCGUAUAAAGUUCGUUGCCAUAGACCCGAAACCGGGUGACCUAUCCAUGAGCAGGCUGAAGUGAGAGUAAAAUCUCAUGGAGGGCCGAACCGACCCCCGUUGCAAUGGUGGCGGAUGACUUGUGGAUAGCGGAGAAAUUCCAAUCGAACUCGGAGAUAGCUGGUUCUCCCCGAAAUAGCUUUAGGGCUAGCGUUAUCUUAGAUUACCGGAGGUAAAGCACUGAAUGGGCUAGGGGGCGAUAAGCUUACUGAACCCUAUCAAACUCUGAAUGCCGGCUAAUUGAUGAUCAGCAGUCAGACAGUGUGAGAUAAGUUUCAUUGUCAAAAGGGAAACAGCCCAGACCCACAGCUAAGGUCCCUAAUGCAUGCUAAGUGGAAAACGAUGUGGAAUUGCGAAAACAACCAGGAUGUUGGCUUAGAAGCAGCCACUCAUUAAAAGAGUGCGUAAUAGCUCACUGGUCGAGUGACUCUGCGCGGAAAAUAUAACGGGGCUAAGCAUGCAACCGAAGCUUGGGAUUGUCUAAAGACAGUGGUAGGGGAGCGUCGUGUACGGGGUGAAGUCGCAUCGGAAGGAGCGGUGGACUGUACACGAGUGAGAAUGCCGGAAUGAGUAGCGAGAAUUAUGUGGGAAUCAUAAUGGCCGAAAAUCUAAGGUUUCUUGGGGAAGGUUCGUCCGCCCAAGGUAAGCCGGGAGCUAAGGCGAGGCCGCGAGGCGUAGUCGAUGCACAUACGGUAGAAAUUCCGUAGCCACCGAACUUUAAACCAGAAGGACACUUUCAGAUAGCGGGACCCAGCCGUUGGUAGAGCUGGGCGCAAGGGACCGAAAUAUAGUAGGGAAGUCCGCGAUGCUGGGAGGCGAGAAAAGCUCUGGUGAAUACUAAGGUGCCCGUACCGCAAACCGACACAGGUAGAUGAGGAGAGAAUCCUAAGGCCAACGGGAGAAGGGUUGUUAAGGAACUCGGCAAAUUGACCCCGUAACUUCGGAAGAAGGGGAGCCUCGAAAGAGGCCGCAGUGAAUAGGCCCAAGCAACUGUUUACCAAAAACACAGGUCUAUGCUAAAUCGAAAGAUGACGUAUAUGGGCUGACGCCUGCCCGGUGCCGGAAGGUUAAGAGGAGAGCUUAGCGCAAGCGAAGGUUUGAAUUGAAGCCCCGGUAAACGGCGGCCGUAACUAUAACGGUCCUAAGGUAGCGAAAUUCCUUGUCAGGU
rnacentral:rRNA from 1 species